rnacentral:rRNA from 1 species
UACGAAGGGGGCUAGCGUUGCUCGGAAUCACUGGGCGUAAAGCGCACGUAGGCGGCUUUUUAAGUCAGGGGUGAAAUCCUGGAGCUCAACUCCAGAACUGCCUUUGAUACUGAGAAGCUUGAGUCCGGGAGAGGUGAGUGGAACUGCGAGUGUAGAGGUGAAAUGCGCAGAUAUCAGGAAGAAUAUCCGUGGCGAAGGCGGCUCUCUGGUACGGCACUGACGCUGAGACGCGAAAGCGUGGGGAGCGAACAGG